CACGUAGGGUGCGAGCGUUGUCCGGAAUUAUUGGGCGUAAAGAGCUCGUAGGCGGUGUGUCCGCGUCGGCCGUGAAAACCUGCAGCUUAACUGCGGGCGUGCGGUCGAUACGGGCAUCACUGGAGUUCGGCAGGGGAGACUGGAAUUCCUGGUGUAGCGGUGAAAUGCGCAGAUAUCAGGAGGAACACCGGUGGCGAAGGCGGGUCUCUGGGCCGAUACUGACGCUGAGGAGCGAAAGCGUGGGGAGCGAACAGG
rnacentral:rRNA from 1 species